rnacentral:tRNA from 1 species
GCGGUUAUGGUGGAAUUGGCAGACACGCUACUUUGAGGUGGUAGUGCCGCAAGGCGUGCAGGUUCAAGUCCUGCUAACCGCACCA